GUACAGGGUAGCCUAGUGGACAUGGCAUCUGCCCGGUAAGCGGGACACUGUGGGUUCGAUUCCCAUCCCUGGACA
rnacentral:tRNA from 1 species